GCUUAAAUAGUUUAAUUAAAAAUAUUGACUUGUGGUGUCAUUGAUAUAAAAUUUAUUUUAGGUU
rnacentral:tRNA from 1 species